rnacentral:lncRNA from 1 species
GUUGUGUGGUUCUUGGGGUCUGAGCCCUGGCCUUGCCUUCACUAGCUCUGCUGCCUCAUCCAUGAUACAUUACACGAGGUUUCUAGGGCCACCUCAGCUAGGGAGAUAACUCUGCUAUGAGAUACACAGGGAUGGCAUAGAGAAUGACUUUAGUUCUGUGUUCGAGAGCCUGACUGUCAGCACAGUGCCCUGGUUUUCAGUCCCCAGCACCGGUGUGUAUUGGGGUGUAAAAAGGCCAAUUUCAUUAACAGAUGUGGAAAAGCUCAGGUACUGUGUGCAGGAUCUGAAAGUAAAGUGAUUCUUCUAUUCUCAUGUUUACUGUUAUUAAAUACAGAAAAGCAGGCUGGGCCAAACCACAAGGCAAACCAAACCAGAAAGCUACACCACACACAAACCACCCAGAUGCACGAGCUGUGCUUUUUCCUAGUGUCCUGGAGUUCAUGAAGGGACAUGGAAUCCAACUGUCAUUUCCCGAGGCCCCUCUCCUACCUUCCCAAGAGACACCAAUUCCUACCUGAUGCUCAUUCCUCAAGUUCAAAUAAGGCUUGGCCUGGACCACAGCUCUGGAGUUCUAUAAGCUCACAGGAGGGCUCUGCAGCUCAGGAGGCAGAUGUGGGCCUGUCUCCCUUUCUCUGUCUCCCCUUCCUGCGCUGCAGGCCAGAGUGGACUGGGCAAGUCGACGCUGGUCAACACACUAUUCAAGUCUCAAGUGAGCCGGAAGGCCUCCAGCUGGAACCGG